rnacentral:rRNA from 1 species
UUUUUGAAAAUAAUUUAAAGUCUAAUCUGCCCACUGAUAAAUAUUAAAGGGCUGCAGUAUAUUGACUGUACAAAGGUAGCAUAAUCAAUAGUCUUUUAAUUGAAGACUUGUAUGAAGGAUUUAAUGAAAUAUAAUCUGUCUCUUAUUUAUAAUUAGAAUUUAAUUUUUUAGUUAAAAAGCUAAAAUAGAUUUAAAAGACGAGAAGACCCUAUAGAGUUUUAUAAUUAAUUAAUUUUGGGUUAUAUAUAUAAUUUAAAAUUAAAAAUUAAUUAAUUAUUUUAUUGGGGUGAUAAAAAAAUUAAGUAAACUUUUUUUUAUUGAAGACAUAAAUAAGUGAAUAAAUGAUCCAUUAUUAAUGAUUAAAAGAAAAAAUUACCUUAGGGAUAACAGCGUAAUUUUUUUUUUUAGUUCAAAUAAGAAAAAGAGAUUGCGACCUCGAUGUUGGAUUAAGAUAAAAUAUAAAUGCAAAAGUUUAAAAUUUUGAUCUGUUCGAUCAUUAAAAUCUUACAUGA